rnacentral:rRNA from 1 species
CAGGUGGUGCAUGGUUGUCGUCAGCUCGUGUCGUGAGAUGUUGGGUUAAGUCCCGCAACGAGCGCAACCCUUAUUAUCAGUUGCCAGCAUUCAGUUGGGCACUCUGGUGAGACUGCCGGUGACAAACCGGAGGAAGGUGGGGAUGACGUCAAAUCAUCAUCCCCCUUAUGACCUGGGCUCCCCACGUGCUACAAUGGACGGUACAACGAGUGGGGAAGUCGGGAGGAUAAGAUAUUCUCUUAAAGCCGUUCUCAGUUCGGAUUGUAGGCUGCA